rnacentral:rRNA from 1 species
CCUACGGGAGGCAGCAGUGGGGAAUCUUGCGCAAUGGGCGGAAGCCUGACGCAGCAACGCCGCGUGCGGGAAGAAGGCCUUAGGGUCGUAAACCGCUUUCAGGGGGGACGAAGCUUCCGGGGUUAAUAGCCUACGGGGUGACGGUACUCCCAAAAGAAGGUCCGGCUAACUACGUGCCAGCAGCCGCGGUAAUACGUAGGGACCGAGCGUUGUCCGGAAUCAUUGGGCGUAAAGAGCGUGUAGGCGGCCUAGUAGGUCUCGUGUGAAAUCCCGCGGCUCAACCGCGGACACGCACGGGAAACCCCUAGGCUCGAGUCCGGAAGAGGAGAGCGGAAUUCCUGGUGUAGCGGUGAAAUGCGCAGAUAUCAGGAAGAACACCCGUAGCGAAGGCGGCUCUCUGGGACGGUACUGACGCUGAGACGCGAAAGCGUGGGGAGCAAACAGGAUUAGAUACCCUGGUAGUCCACGCCGUAAACGAUGGAUGCUAGGUGUGGGAGGUGUCGACUCCUCCCGUGCCGAAGCUAACGCAUUAAGCAUCCCGCCUGGGGAGUACGGCCGCAAGGCUAAAACUCAAAAGAUAGAGGCGNGAGAGAGCGACGACGACGACGACGGAGGAG